rnacentral:rRNA from 1 species
CAGCCGCCACGGUAAUACAGAGGGUGCGAGCGUUAAUCGGAUUUACUGGGCGUAAAGCGCACGCAGGCGGUCUGUCAAGUCAGAUGUGAAAUCCCCGGGCUUAACCUGGGAACUGCAUUUGAAACUGGCAGGCUAGAGUCUUGUAGAGGGGGGUAGAAUUCCAGGUGUAGCGGUGAAAUGCGUAGAGAUCUGGAGGAAUACCGGUGGCGAAGGCGGCCCCCUGGACAAAGACUGACGCUCAGGUGCGAAAGCGUGGGGAGCAAACAGGAUUAGAUACCCGUGUAGUCCCUGUCUCUUAUAC